CAGUAGCCGCGGGAAUACGAAGGGUGCAAGCGUUAAUCGGAAUUACUGGGCGUAAAGCGCGCGUAGGUGGUUUGGUAAGAUGGAUGUGAAAUCCCCGGGCUCAACCUGGGAACUGCAUCCAUAACUGCCUGACUAGAGUACGGUAGAGGGUGGUGGAAUUUCCUGUGUAGCGGUGAAAUGCGUAGAUAUAGGAAGGAACACCAGUGGCGAAGGCGACCACCUGGACUGAUACUGACACUGAGGUGCGAAAGCGUGGGGAGCAAACAGGAUUAGAGACCCCUGUAGUCCCUGUCUCUUAUAC
rnacentral:rRNA from 1 species